rnacentral:rRNA from 1 species
CAGUCGCCGCGGUAAUACGUAGGUGGCAAGCGUUGUCCGGAAUUAUUGGGCGUAAAGGGCUCGCAGGCGGUUUCUUAAGUCUGAUGUGAAAGCCCCCGGCUCAACCGGGGAGGGUCAUUGGAAACUGGGAAACUUGAGUGCAGAAGAGGAGAGUGGAACUCCACGUGUAGCGGUGAAAUGCGUAGAGAUGUGGAGGAACACCAGUGGCGAAGGCGACUCUCUGGUCUGUAACUGACGCUGAGGAGCGAGAGCGUGGGGAGCGAACAGGAUUAGAUACCCCUGUAGUCCCUGUCUCUUAUAC